GACGAACGCUGGCGGCGUGCUUAACACAUGCAAGUCGAACGGAAAGGCCCUGCUUUUGUGGGGUGCUCGAGUGGCGAACGGGUGAGUAACACGUGAGUAACCUGCCCUUGACUUUGGGAUAACUUCAGGAAACUGGGGCUAAUACCUGAUAGGAGCUCCUGCUUCAUGGUGGGGGUUGGAAAGUUUCGGCGGUUGGGGAUGGACUCGCGGCUUAUCAGCUUGUUGGUGGGGUAGUGGCUUACCAAGGCUUUGACGGGUAGCCGGCCUGAGAGGGUGACCGGCCACAUUGGGCCUGAGAUAGGGACCAGAAGCGUACGGGAGGCAGCAGUGGGGAAUAUUGCACAAUGGGCGGAAGCCUGAUGCAGAAACGCUGCGUGCGGGAUGACGGCUUUCGGGUUGUAAACCGCUUUCGCCUGUGACGAAGCGUGAGUGACGGUAAUGGGUAAAGAAGCACCGGCUAACUACGUG
rnacentral:rRNA from 1 species